rnacentral:rRNA from 1 species
UACGGAGGGUGCAAGCGUUAUCCGGAUUUACUGGGUUUAAAGGGUGCGUAGGUGGGUGAAUAAGUCAGCGGUGAAAUCUCCGGGCUUAACUCGGAAACUGCCAUUGAUACUAUUUGUCUUGAAUAUCCUGGAGGUGAGCGGAAUAUGUCAUGUAGCGGUGAAAUGCUUAGAUAUGACAUAGAACACCUAUUGCGAAGGCAGCUCACUACGGGAUUAUUGACACUGAGGCACGAAAGCGUGGGGAUCAAACAGG